rnacentral:rRNA from 1 species
GACGAACGCUGGCGGCGUGCUUAACACAUGCAAGUCGAACGAUGAACUUGGAGCUUGCUCUGGGGGAUUAGUGGCGAACGGGUGAGUAACACGUGAGUAACCUGCCCUGGACUCUGGGAUAACUUCGAGAAAUCGGAGCUAAUACCGGAUAGGACCUUGCACCGCAUGGGGUGGGGUGGAAAGUUUUUCGGUUUGGGAUGGACUCGCGGCCUAUCAGCUUGUUGGUGAGGUAAUGGCUCACCAAGGCGUCGACGGGUAGCCGGCCUGAGAGGGUGACCGGCCAUACUGGGACUGAGACACGGCCCAGACUCCUACGGGAGGCAGCAGUGGGGAAUAUUGCACAAUGGGCGCAAGCCUGAUGCAGCAACGCCGCGUGCGGGAUGACGGCCUUCGGGUUGUAAACCGCUUUUAGUAGGGAAGAAGCCUUCGGGUGACGGCACCUGCAGAAAAGGGACCGGCUAACUACGUGCCAGCAGCCGCCGUAAUAC